CCCCAAGGGGCUGAGCUCGCCGGCCUGGUGCCUGCAGCCGGAGCCGGCCUCCGGCCUGGCGGGCAGAGGCCAGGUGUCCUGGAAUAAGUGCGGCCCGGGGGGAGACUGGCUGCCCGGCGGCAGGCAGAAGGUCUGCGAGCAGAUGGGGUCCGACGUCCGGGACCUGAACGCGCUGCUGCCCUCCGUGCCCUCCCUGCCGGGCAACAGCAACUGCGCCAUGCCCGUGAGCAGCGCGGCGCAGUGGGCUCCCGUCCUGGACUUCCCCCCGGGGGCCUCCUACGGCUCGCUGGGGCCGCACUCUUUCAUCAAGCAGGAACCCAGCUGGAACGGGUCGGACCCGCACGAGGAGCAGUACCUGAGCGCUUUCACCGUCCACUUCUCCGGGCAGUUCACGGGCACGGCCGGGGCCUGCCGCUACGGGCCCUUCGGUGCCCCGCCGCCCAGCCAGCCGCCCUCCGGCCAGGCCAGGAUGUUCCCCAACGGGCCCUACCUGCCCAACUGCCUGGAGAGCCAGCAAGCCAUUCGCAACCAGGGUUACAGCACCGUAGCCUUUGACGGGACUCCGAGCUACGGCCACACGCCGUCUCACCACGCCGCGCAGUUUACGAACCACUCUUUCAAACACGAGGACCCCAUGAGCCAGCAGCCCUCGCUAGGGGACCAGCAGUACUCGGUGCCCCCCCCGGUGUACGGCUGUCACACCCCCACGGACAGCUGCACGGGCAGCCAGGCCCUGCUCCUACGGACCCCCUACAACAGUGACAAUUUAUACCAAAUGACGUCACAGCUGGAAUGCAUGACAUGGAAUCAAAUGAACUUGGGAUCCACGCUGAAGGGCCAUACAACAGGAUAUGAAAAUGAGAACCACAGCGCUCCCAUGUUAUACAGCUGUGGGGCCCAGUACAGAAUACACACCCAUGGAGUUUUUAGAGGCAUACAAGACGUCCGACGAGUACCAGGAGUAGCUCCAACUAUUGUCCGGUCAGCGAGUGAGACAAAUGAAAAACGUCCCUUCAUGUGCGCCUACCCUGGCUGUAACAAGCGAUACUUUAAGUUGUCCCAUUUACAAAUGCACAGCAGAAAGCACACUGGUGAAAAACCAUAUCAGUGUGAUUUUAAGGACUGUGAACGAAGAUUUUCUCGUUCAGACCAACUCAAACGGCACCAAAGACGACACACAGGUGUGAAACCCUUCCAAUGUAAAACCUGUCAGAGAAAGUUCUCCAGAUCUGAUCAUCUGAAGACUCAUACCAGGACUCAUACAGGUAAAACAAGCAGGCACUGAGAAAACUGUAUCACAUGCAGUGUUUUCCAAUCAUCAGUGUGACCUGACAGUAAAUCCAGUCCAAGGCUUUGGAGUGGACUGAGGGCCUCCGGAAAGAUGCCUGCAGCUCUGCACCUCGGAGCUGCCUACACCUGGGUGAGGUGGGUACGCAAAGGCAGCCAGCUGGCAGAGGUGUGUUGCCAGAGGAUGGUCAGAGCUGUACUACCCAGUCCCACUCGAGCCCUGCUUGUACCUUCCCCUUUGGGCAACAAUGGGCAGGAGAAUCACUCAGCAUUUGAGCUGGGGAACUCUUCCACACUUUAGGAAACUGCCCCCUCCAUCAGUUAACAAAAAUGUCAUUAAAGGCAUUGUAUGCAGUUCAAAAUGGCACUAAUGGACAAGAAGAUCCAGCUGCAGUAUUUGGGAAGAUCCAAUAAAGGAUUCAUUAGGAUUGUUUUAGUUACUGGAAGUCCAGAUGACAGAAAGGAGCCUACUGAAACUGAAGAUCUGGUCACAAAAGUGAGCCAAGAUCUUAAUCUGCAAAAACAAGCUGAAGAGUAAUGAGGAGAUCUGCCUGAUUGUCCUGGCUUGAAUGGCUAGAUAAAACAUCUCGUACAAAAGUGACCUGAGAAAGUGAGAAGUGGAGAGUUCAGUUGUCUGGUGAAUUGAGUAUGUUAAACUUUCCAAAUAAAAGCUUCUCCUAAAGCACCAGAUUCUUUUAGUAAUUAAUCACUAUACUGUUUAUUAAGAAGACACGCCUGGAAUUUUUUAGUAACUCAGGUAACCUUUCAUGGUUUGAUGGAUACAAAAGAUAACGGUGUCUACUGUGAUUUAAUGAGGGUCUCUGAUGUAAUAUAGUAAUCUGUGACUUCUGAGUUGGUGUCUCUGUCCUGGGAGUAGGGAAGGGAUACUGGAGGAAGGCAUGUGUACAAAAACACACUGCUAUAAAAACAACCUGUUGCUAAUCAGUUAUUAGAACUACUUUUUGUGUCAUGUAGCAGGCCAAGACGGACUGCUGGGAUACUAAGUUUGGACUUCACUGGCAGACCGGAAGUCUUGUGGCGAUGUGGAGUAGUUUCAACAAAGAUAGAUUUUAUUGAAUUAAGUAAGAAAUUAAAGUUGUGGUUGGUAUAAUAUCCCUUGGACAUAGGGUACUUUGACUUCUCUAAAGUCUGGAUAUCGGUAUUCUGUAAUGGGAAGUACAGAUUCUAAAAGCCUUUGCUGUAACUAGUGGGUUAUGCUGUCGGGCGGACAUCAGAUGAUGAUGAUGGUUAUUUUUAUAAAAAUAUGAAGGUUUCUGAAAUGUAAACAGUCAUAUCUCCCUCACAUGCAGCACAGAUGGGGCUGAACUGUGCACUGUAUCCAGUAGUGCCAGGUUCCCAACAGUGCCACUCACGAGGGUUCAAGCUAUUAGAACGUCAGAUGUAAUUUCACAAAAGGCCAUCUCCUUGAGACCGGAAUAGGUCUCUUUCAAAUUGGUUCUCAGCUCCCAGUUUCCUGUUUUGUAAUGCCUGCAUUCAGGCAACUACUGUUUUUUUUACUUAUAUUUUCAAGUGCAGUCUGACUUUCAAAAAUGGCACUGUAAAAAUUCUCUUUAAAGGAACCUACAGUUGUACGUAGCAAACUUAAUUAUAAACAAUGCAUUUCCUACUGUUUUUAAUUCCUAGAAGAGUUAACCCUGAAAAGAUGAAAUAAAAUUCUUUCUUGGGCUGCAUGAAAGUAAGUAUUGAAUAGGUUCCAAGUAGGUGUAUAAACAUUCCCAUUCAGAAAACAGCUGAGUAUCUGUGUAGUCUAUGCACUGCUAAAAAGUGAUAGAUUUGCUCAAGUGCAUUCCUGUAUUAUAACCUGAGAGACUGAAGUGAAGGUGGUGAGCUCUCACAGAUGUACCUGAACAAUUAUAGUCUGCUCUGAUGUGAGAAGUAUGAGAAGUUUCUCUUGUAAAUAUAAAGAUCCGAAUGAGCUUGAAAAGCUGGCAAUAGAAAAGAUGAGAACUUCCUGACAUGGAGCAAAAGGCAGUCAUCUUAAGAAUCCAGUGGUGUUUUUAUUUUAUUUUAUUUUAUGCCCAAAGUAUCUGUAGUAACUAGAAACUCCAAAUACUAUUUUUAAGUAGCCAAACAGGAGCACCUUGAAAAUAUAUUGUUUUCUGAAAGGGAAUGUAAUGUUUUCUUAAAGUGCUCAUUUCUCCUCUGAAAAACAACAACCUUUUCGAAGUAUUUCUUAUUGCAGAACCAGAAUCAAUGCUUCCAAAAUUCCCAGUGCUAGUGAAUCAGGGAAAUGGGACACGCAUCGAAGUAUUGGUAUUUUAGAGAUGGCAGAAGCAUUAAAUACACUGGGAUUUCAGAAUUCUGCGGAUUCCUUAGCUUCUCAGCCUUGCAAAACAUCUGUCCCCACUUGCAAAGGCACAAUCUGCCAGCACUUUUCCAGCUUUGUCAUUUUAGUGUCCCUGAAGCCAAGAAUACCAGUUACAGAUCUCUGUAGGUUAAGAAUGAGUCUCAAGUAUUUUGUAGAGAAAAAAACCAUCUGUGAAAAUAUUACAGUCUGAGAGCAAAAGUGACCAAGAUACUGUUUCACAAACCAAAAUGGAAAAUAAAACCUUAAAUGUGAUAAUAACUCAGUAUAACGUGCGUGAUAUCCUAUGGAAUACAUGACAGGAAAACAGCUGAUGGCCGUAGCAUUUUCUGGGAAAUAAAGGACCGUUCAAAGUUAAGGAUUCGCAAAAUUUGCAAGAAUUCCUGGUGAUGCUUCAGUUAAUAUUAUUAAAAACUAAAUAAAUUACCAUUAUAUAUUCUUUUACCUUUCUCAUCUAGAUAUUUAAUGGAGAUUUUCAGUGUUAGAAUAAGAUUUUCAUUUCAAACAAGUGUGAAUUUAUGCUGCAGGAUGCUGGACGCGAUCCCUUCCAUCUGUAAGUUCCCAGAAAUACUUGGAACCUCCCAAGUUUUGUUUCUUUCACGUGGGAAUGGUCUUUGCAUGCAGGAAGAUUAUCUCGGGAUCUGCUGUUUCCAAUAAGUGGCUAUGCAUACUGACAGUGCAGAGGUACUUCUAAGAAAUGGUCAUUCCUUUGCAGUUGCCCCAUACCGGGACUUAUUCUGAAAACUCCUAUGCACAUGAGAAAUCUUUACUGACAUCUGUAAAGGUGUUACAUCCCAGAAGGUCCCACUGAGUGUACAUCCACGCCUGUGCUGACGUUAGACCAGUGGGUGGUAGUACGCAAGGGAGGGUUCUGCACGCUGCAGGUAAUGAAAAUGAGUUGGUCAUCACCGCAUUUGUAUAAGGUAAGCGUUCUAAUUUCUCCUUUACAGAGGAAAGCUCACCAAAACCAGCAGUCUGAGCAAGUGAAACUCCUGUCUUUCCAUGGGAUCUGUGCAAGCGUUACAGUAGUUGGGAACUUGGCAACGUUGUACGAACUAUUUGUACGCAGGUCACCUUCCAUGUCUUCUUUAACAUACUGCUAUGUGACAGAAUGGUUUAUAUCUUAAUUCAUUACAUUUAAUUUUUACUGUAAAACAAAUGAUAAUGAGUAGCUCUUUAAACUAAUGUUUUAUUUCCAGAGAGUCAAAGUUUUGGCAUAAGUUUAAUGGAAAAAACAUUAAUCUUCACAAUCAAAAAAGAGAGUUGUUGACUAAAUAUGACCUGACAAAAUUCUUUUUCGAAACUGUUCACAGAUCUUUCUCAUCAAAUUUUAAGCAAUGCAUUUCUCGUUGCUGACUGCUAAGGACUAACAAUUAUGUUUUCCAUUAAGGUUCAGAUACUGCGUCAUUUGAGAGAUUUAUGUUCAGAAGAAAGGUAUAUUUUAGUAUCUACUAAGAUGUUCGUAUAUGUAUAAAGAACUGUCACGUGUAAUAGGAACAAACAUUUGUUAGUUAUAUUUAACCUUUGGUUAUCUAGUAGUGAUGUGAGCUGUAGUUCAGAGGAGGAAGAAAUGUUUGUUCCCAGCUGUGUAAUACAGACAAGCCUUCAGGGCUGUUGUGAAGCUCUUUGAAUUAUAUUUUCUCCUCUUUCCUGCUGGGAAAUGUACAGAAAUUGAUACAAGACCGUGCUAUCAUUCAUGUGGCAGCAGACUAAGAAUGACUGCUAGAAUAUCCGGGACAUGCUUUAUGUUUAGCGCUGACAAUCUAAGCAAGACAAAUAUGAUUUAUGGGACAAUAGUUCAGAUGGGGAAUGAAUGGAGAUGUCGUGGUGAAAAUAUCAGAAUAAGUAGGUUAUGUGAAGGAAGUAGGCUUUAAGGAGGGAUCUAAAGGAGAUUUGGCAUGCGGCAGAUGGGAAGUUAUUCAAAGUAUAAGAUGCAAGAUGGAAAAAGAAGCGAAGUUGAGAGCGGGAGAAAAAUAUGAAAGGAACAGUAGGACAAGAUGGACGCUUGAAAAUUCUGCCAUUCCUUUCCAUGUAUGACUAACCAAAAACAUUUUCAUAGCCUGAAAAUGUACUUCUGUUGACUUCUGGUUUAUCCCCACAGGUAGUAAUUAUUAACAUUUCAGAAAACGCCACUAAGUCUUUCAAACCUAGUUACUCUUCCUUAGUAAAACAAGAGUUUACAGUCUGAAAAACUCAGAAGUCAUUAUUUUUUUACUACUGUAGCACUUUCAUGCAAGAGGCCGCCCUUGUUCUGAGGCAUUUAUUGCCUGACUGGACAAAGAAUGGGCAAAGGGAAAGAUCAACAGAUUUCUAUUGCAGAACAAGAAAGAGGCCUGUCAAGAUCAAAUGAUUUGCCCAAGGACAUGAAGAAAGCUAAAGCCAAGCUGAAACUGAGACUCGUUAAUUUUGCAGGUUGUGCCAUGCUGAUCAGAAGCGGAGUAAACCCUUCCUUCGACUGACCUCUGUUUUCCAGCCCCUCUCCUCCUCCAGGUUCACCUUCUCCAACGUAUCAACCAAAGCUCAUCGUUAUGCCAAAAGGCGUUCCUAAGGAGCAUACAGGCCUGCCUGUUCGGGAAGGUGGUUUCCAGACAGCAGGAUGCCUGCAGUAAUGCAGGAAGUGCUACAGCUGUAUUAAUCUGGAAGAACAUCACAGUAACUCAUGACAGUGAACUUCUGUUGAAGAUCUCUCGCCAAGUUUCUUGAAAACAGAUGCAAACAUGGGAUAGCACAGCACGAUGAAAUCGCCAAGGCUGUAUUUUGGAGUGUGCAUAUAGAGGGGCUUUUGAUGAAGCCAGCUUUUGUUACUCGGUGCACGAUUGCUGGUGUAAAUGAGGGAGAAGCAGUAAACUAAGGCAACUGUUGCAUGGACGUACGAGCGAAGUUGCCACGAGCAGUAAAGUUGCGAGGAGACGGUUUCCCGCAGCCUAGUAAACAGAAGGCACGCUGAUGAAAGCAAUCGAAGAAAUGGUUUCAGCUUGAUUCACGGGAAUGGCAGAGAAAGGGACUUCAGCCAGCAAUAGGCAAUGUUGGGAUUCUUUCAAGGUUGAAUCUGUCUAAAAAGGACGAGGAGGAGACGACAAGAGUAGCAUCUCUCAAACACAACUACCAGUGCCUUUUCUUCCAGCUAGAAGUCCACUGAUGUCAGGACUGGCACUGGCCCCAGGAUGAGUUCUCUCCACCAUUUUUGGGGUGGCUGUCAGCAGUCUAUCAUGCACAGGAGGGAUGCUGACAGCAGCCAAAAACGAUUUGGCACAGCUCAGAAGUGCCCAGGUGACAGCCUCCUCUACCAGAGAGCUGAGGCCAGCUUGGUCUGCACCUCCUGCCAGCAGACUCAACAGCACCAGGACAGCGAGCCCCUGCUUGUCUUGGGAUUCAUCUGGACUUGAAAGAGGUUGGUCCUUAUUUCACUCCCACCUGGGUGUGGAGAUGCCAGACUGAUGAUUUGUCCACUGAAACUGAACCAAACCCUCUGACAAAUGCAAAAGCUAUGGGGAAGGAGUUCCCUGUCUGGUCAAAAGUUUUGGAGAAGUUUAACUCAGAAUUAAAACUCCAGAAUCUUGAGUCCAUCGUUUCCAUGCCUUCUCCUUCUCAUCUGUAGUAACUGAAAAUUUUCUUCUCUGCUUCAGAAAUGAAGAAGAUGAAUUUUAAACGGGCCAGGCCAUGAGUGUAAGACUUGGAGUGAGGUCCAUGCUCUCUAGACUGUGCAUGGCGGGCGAUGGUCUGCCCAGUAGGGGAAAUCCUCAAACAUGCCUUUCCUCUCUGGAGGUCCUGACAUUACCCAGCUGGAACCACAGAGGCAGAGCCAUCCAGAUCUACACUUUUAACAGGGGUGAAACGCUGGCCAGUGCUUGGCUCUCUGAACUGCAGCCACGUCUUCAGCCUGGCAGCUUGAGCAAGCCCUUCAAGCAUGGAUGGCUUUGUGCUUGCUGCUAGAGGAGACCUCAGCAAGAGCCAGAGGUGGUGUGUGGAGCCUCUAAGGGUGGGCUUUGCUGCUAAAAGCGCUGGAGAAGCUCUUGGCAAGCAGGUGAGGUGCUGCUGCAGCAGAGCCACUCCGCACCGAUGGCGAAGAGAGGGUGACUUCGAGUUUGACACCUAAAACAUUGCAGUGAGCAUACAGGUGGCUCACUGGAUGCAGGUUCAACCGGUGAACCUCCGUGGAUGGAUGCACACUGACAAGGAAGCACUGACCUCACAGAAAUGUGUUUUUCCAUCCUGGAUGCUGAGCACAGCAGCAUAUAAUAUUUACAGUCUGAGCGGCACUUCUGAGCACGGCACGGCACUGAAGAUUGCCCAGCCUCUUCACAGGAACAGCCUGCGUGGCCAAGAGCUCGGGUGUAUCAAGCAUGAACACGGAGAGUGUUUCAUAAAGCAAGCAGCAGGAAGUGUUAUUCCUUGCCGGGUGUUGGUUGCCACCCUUUCUCCAUCUCAGCCAGCCUAGAUAACCCCGUGAAGUGGUGGCUGAAACAUCACAGGUGCGGUGAUCCUGAUUCUCUCUAAGACUUUCUUGGAUUGUGCUCACGACCGAAGACAUGUAAAGCAGAUGCACAGGUACUUCAUGCACAAUCCCUAGGUGAUGCCAGGAGCCUUAGCACAGGUAAGAGUGAGAGUUGAAAUCUCUGCAAGUACUGUGAAAUGCCUGUACACCUGUCCAUGAGCAAGCGAAGGGGAAGAGAGAAGCAGAGGCCGAGAACCAGGAAAAAGGAAAACAAUUCCUGUUUAUGCAAUCUGUAAUAGUAGGGAAGAGCAGAUAGGCCCUUCAAAGUUUUCUGAUUCUCUAAUUGGCAUGUUUUAAAUUUCAAGCUGGAACACAUCAGGUGCAGUCAACAAACACAGGACAAAAUGCACCUACGCAAUUUUAACAUGACUUGCCUCGACUUCAGGUCAACUAAGCAGUACAGCUGGAUGACACAACACAUUGCUCUUGAGAGCCCAAACAAAGCUCUUGUGUUGUUGCUGCACUUUGGACCGACUGUUAUUCAGGCUUGAUGACCAACUGGUGGUGCUAAUGCUUCACUGGAUGGGAGGUGAAGGAGGGUUCAUUACCCCUCAAUAAAUAUGUACAUGCAUUACAGAAACCCUCUGCAAAUUACAAAGCAGCUUUCACCAACCUUGCAAUUAAAGGAUUCAGCUUGAUUUUUAAAAGACGCUUGCAGGAAGCAGUUAGACACAUGUAUUCUGAAAUUUCAUAUGGCAGCCCUUUAAUCACGAUGGCUUCAAGGAGCAGUCACUUGCUUAGGACACUUGACCUUCAGUCCUUAGUUCUUACAGCAAGGUUUUGUGUAUUCUCUUGUAUCUGUGGUAGGAUGUUUAUUGCCUGGGAGGGAGGUUAGAUACUCACGUGUUUACAGAGGGCUGUGAAGCAGUAAAGCAUCAAGACAGGGACAGAGGGAUGGCUAGCCUCAUUCAGAGCAACCCAUGUGCCUGAUCAGCCCUGGCCUAAGCCUCAGUGAGCAGGAAGGCUCUGGAGCCUGGUGUCACUCUGUGUUUCACAGCAUGGUCAUUUACUGCAGCAGAUCUAGACUCCAAGAACAGUAGAGCAUGAGAAAACAAACAAAAAAAUGGUACUCUCAUUUAUUUCAGUGAGUGAUUUUUUUAAAAAAAAGCCAAGAUACCAUUUUUUGUUUUUGGUGGAGCUGUUUACUCUCCUAGACAUUUGUACCUGAUGGCAUUUUGCAACUCUGUCCCCUAGGUGUUGCACUGACAGCCACCUGUAACACAAAGGUCACUGGCAAGUUUGCAAGGGGCUUUCCUGCUGCCUGGAGAGAGGAGGAGUAGAAUAAUUUUCUUUUGCAGCACGCAGACUGUGAGAAGAGAACCCCUUUUCACACCAGCCCUGACCUGUGAGAAUGUUUUCCUGGCAGGGCUGCACAGGAGCCAUGCAGAGUAACAGUGAGGAAUGGAGCGGGAACCAGUGGUGUGGAUGGUUUGUGACAUCCCAGGUGAUGACAGCCACCAUAGUGUCGCAUUGCCACUGAGUCUGUUUACUCCCUGAAAUCAUCUUCCUCUAGUAGCUGCUGUGCUGCUGUUGAGAUGCUGGAGCAGCAAGGUACCCCUGGGCCAGCAGGAAUGGCACCGUGGGCAGGGGCAUAGUUCCUGGUUUCCUCUGGACUGAAACUUCUGUGGGUGCUACACCAAGAUCUACCACCCACCAUCCUGCAAAAACACCUCUGGAACUGCUGCAUUCAGAUGCUUGAUUUUGGCCAUUUUUCUAGGCACACACACUAAAAGAAAACAGGACAGAUCCCAAACAUGGGAAUCCUGCAAGGUCAAAGUCACAAAGGUCUCCCCGUCCUCUUGCUCCCCGCAUACUGCCCUCUGCCCUGCUGCCCAGGGUGCUGUCCUGGUGAGGAGCUGGCUGAAGGUAAGAGGUAGCUGAGCUUCAGCUGUCAUUCACUGACCAGUGCAUCAAAUUCAACUCUCAGUGGAAGACGCAAGUCUUCUUGCUCUCCUUCCUUCCAAAGUGGGCCCAAGGGCAUGUGGCGGUUUUCAGGCCCUUUUUUCUUCCAUUCCUAAUGACUUGUUUUUUCUACUCCAAAUCCCUUCCUGGUAGUUUUCUAAGUUUCCUUUUCUUGGAUGGUGUCACCUCUCUUUUCUUUCCCCACGCACGUUCUUCUCCAGGGGCAGCCCUAGCAGUGCUCUCUGCUUGGGUUGAUCAUAGGCAAGACUCUGCUCUGCUGUUGGUUUUCCCUUUCUGCCUCUUCUUGCUUCUUUCCCAUACUCAGGCAUAUUAAUAUUCCAACUCUGAUAUUCAUUUUUUAUCUUUUGUUGGAGAACAUUUGCCUUCUGUCUCAUUUGGAAAAAAGUGCGAUCGGUGCCAGGUUUUUAACAAGGUGAAGGCUUCUUCUUUAUUUCUGUUCCAGCCACUACUUCUCUAUUUUUGUUCCAGCUCUGCUGCUUUGGGUUGUGGGAUGUGCAAACCCUGAGAGGCACACACACGUUGGGUGUGCAAGUUGGAGCUUUGCAUGUACAAAUAUCCAGCUGAAUGCAUUCCUGGUGAUCCAUGUUCCUAAAUACAUGACUGCUAUAUACAGCCAUGGCAAACCAUGGCUGAUGGAGUGUAGAUUUUUUUCAGAUGUGAUGCAGCAGUGCAGGGCAGCACAGAUGAGGUGUGCUUGUGAACGUGCUGCAUUUCUGCAUGCGGUCCUUGCCUUCUGACAUUUGCAAAUUUGUCCCUUAAUCUCUGCGGUGCAGGAUUUGCUGUCAAGGAACAUUGUCUGGGAUGAGCUGUUGGGAUUCAGAUUAUCAACUAAACAUUAAUUAUUCUUCUGACUAAACCCUCAACAGCUAGGCUAGAAUAAUACAAAUGUAAAGAAAGAAAUGAGUAUGAAUCAUGUUCUGUACUUGAAAUCUGGAAUGAAUCCUACUGUAGAAACAGAAUCAUAUACCAUAAGCGUAUGUGUGUAGAGACAUAACAGAGCCAGAUCUUCAGCUGGGACUGAGCCAGGCAGUGCCUCUGGAACCAAAAGGCAUGUUCCUGAGUUGAAGCUCCCAACCUGCUUUAUUCUGAGCACCCAGAGGGAUUGCAGGUAAUGACAAGAUCUGUCGGGCUGUGCUGAGGAAACCAAAAUCACAAUAACAAGGAAGUUCUGUUAUUUUUUUUGCUGUAGAGAAACACUUUUUAUUAAUCACAUUUAUGCAAGAAGCUGCUUAGACAGACAGAAGUGACAUAAGCCCUUCGAGAAGCGGUAACUGGCAGAGUGUAAAGGUAAAAGCAUCAGACCUUUGUGAAAGAAACUAAAUCCCUUCUGUCUGCUGUCUUCACUAGGCAGGAAGACCCAUGUCUUCAGUUUGCGUAGGUGGCUGCUCUAAUUGCACUACAGGUUUGUAUUUAUAUUUAUGUCCCUGUGUUUGAUGCAUGGUAGAAAUGUCAUAGUGCUUAAGUUCAUUAGGGUGUUGUCUCUGUGUUCAGCUGGGCUAGAGAAGAAGUAUUUCCCUUUCAGCGUAUGCAACUAACUGCUUUUGAGCCCAAGCCAUGGUUCAGAAUAGAUCCAUAAAGAGCUAAUGAGAAGAAUAAAAAUCAGAUAGUUAAAAAAUGAUGUAAGGUAGGGUCUUAAUUUUUUAUUAUUAAAUUCACAGUGCAUUAAAUAUUAAGUGUUCAUAAACUUUGUUUUGUGCAAUGAUAAAUUAAUAAUAUCUACAUAGGCAUGUUCUUUUACAACAGGGAGGCCAAGAAAUGUAGUACCGGAGGACCUUGUGUUGACAAUUGAAGCUAUUAGAAUAGACUCCUUCAUCUUCAAUCAUAAAAAGUAGAUAAUGUUAUUUCUUAUUACUAUUAAAUGCAAAAUGUCUUCCUUAGGAAACAUAUAUGUCAUUACUAAAAAUAACUACCAGGGAAUGUUUUGAGCAACCAAGAAAAAGAUGUUAACAAAUUAUAUCUUCAGAUAAAUCCAGUGAAAUGUUCUCUGCUGAUCUGUGUCAUAUUCACAGUGCUUUCCAACUUAUCCUUGUGUUAGCCCAUAGCAGGUUGCAUAAGGUUUAUGUCCGAGGACAGGCGGUAAUGGCUUAACAUGACACAUUGUACUUUUGGGAAUCGUAACCAGCACUAAUGGCCCCAAAAUGCAGAUUCUUGUGUUACUGAAAGAUGCCUGCCAGCCUCUGCUUGGGGAAGGAACGGUGAACUUUGUGUUUUGCUUCUUUUCUGUGAACGUUGAACAAUACCUCCUUGAUUAAGAACGGGGGAUUUUGUUAACUUUUCUCCGGGAUUUAACAACAGUAUUCAUUCAAGUGAACCUUGUGGUUUAAAAACACACGGUGGGGUGGGUAUCUUCAGCCUCCUCAAGGAAAGGAGGUUUUUCUUUAGAGAGGCCAUGGAGGUGUAGUUUGGAGUUCACAUAGGCUGGAGGAAGGGGUGAUGGUUUUGGCAAGUUUGCUAUUUGUACGUGACCCAGAGAGAGGAUCCAUCCUCUGGUCGCUGGAGCGGCUCCCAGUGCCUGUGAGUGGCCUCACUCUGGGCUUCUGCCUGUAGAACCCCUUCACCAGCUGAGAGUUUUGGCACCCGAAACCCGCAGGGAAUACUUUUUUGUUUUUUACUGGAAACAGCUGGGACAAAAGGUUGGUUUGCAAAAACAGACGCUAAUUUUUGAGUCUGGAAAUGUUAAAUAUUUUUCCAAACUAGGAACCAAAGGAGAAUCAUUUGAGAUUUCUGUGAAUGACCCUGACGUCCUCAGGCAGCUCCUGCCCCAGUUUUUACCCCAAGCCCCUCAGUUGGAGGCCUGGGUUCGGCAGGGCUGGAGCAACAUGUGCUCCCGCUGUCUGUUCCAACGGCCCCAGCCAGCUGAUGGGAACUAGGACAUGCCGAGGAGCGGGCGCUCCCCGCUCAGCUGCUGCAGUGGGCUCGGACCAGCUGGAACAUGGAGGGGCCGCCAGCAGCUCCCCGCCAGCCCGGCUCCCAGGGCAGCUUGAGGCGUGGACUGGUGGAGGCAGUGAAGCCCAACGGGGAGGGGACAAGCCCCAAGGGGAGCAGCAGCUGCGGCUCCCUGCCAGGCUCCCCUGGGCCCGUGUCCACGGCACGACCCUGCCCAUCAAUUCCCACUUCCCCCUCUGGCCGGGGCUGCCUCGCCUUUUCUCAAGCCUUCAGAAUGGUGCGUAAGUGACCUUGUGCCUGUUUGGAGGUGAGGAGGCAGAAGGAAGCCUCAUUCCAAUGACAGAGUGCCAGUGCCCCCCUCCCCCCCUUCACCAGCUGGGUGACCCAGCUUUUUGCUACAUCAAAGCAUGGGAAGAAAGCACCCCUGGCCAGGCACUCUGCCGUCCCCAUCCCACAGCCCCCCUGGCUGUGUUUGUAGGGCAGCCAAAGCACUGCUGGCCCCAUCGGCCCCUGGCUCCAUGGGGAACACCUAGAGGAGUGCAGAGUGAGCCCCUUUCCCAGGCUGCUGCCAAACCAUGCUGUCCCACUGCUUUGCCCUGCAGCUCUGUGGCUGGUUUUGCCAUUGCAUUUUGGUUUAAAACUGGUCCAGCUUUCCGUGAUGCCCUUACAAGACAGGGCAUUGAUUUCUCAUCCUGACUUCCUUUAUUCCUUGCAAACCUCUUCUAGAAGGGCCUUCCCGGAGGAGCCGAGCUGCAUUGCGACUGGCUUUUCACUGCGAUCCUGGGGAGUCACUUGGUCAAGUAAAGCUGCUGGUAAAGGUCCUCUGCAAGUCCUCAGGGAGAGCUCCAGUGGCUCUCAGCAAUCGGUCAACCACCCCGCGUAGAGUGGGAAUAAAUAGAGAACUGCGCAAGCAAGGGCAGUCAAGCACCACUGAUAUCUCCUGCUUCCCACAGAACGCUGCAGAAAGUAACCUGGAGAAGUCACCUGCUCUGAUUUGCUCUGGUGGGAGUGGUGUCUUGUUCACAGAACAAAUGAAUGUCACUCUAGUGUUAUUUAUUUAAAAUAUUUAUUUAAAAUCUCAGUCAGCACAGCAUACCAGCGAUUCUCCAUUGCGAUUGCCACAGCUUCUGCUGAAUUUCAGAUUUCUCUGUUGAAGUGAAAGGGAAAGAAGGACACUGAGCUCUCCAGGAGGAUGGCUGCAGCAUGUCUGGAGUGCCCCUUGAUGCCCUCACCCCUGGGCCCACACCAAGCCCUGUUCUCGCCUGAGCGCCGAAGGGAAAUGCUGCCUGUGGGCCAGGAAAGCGCCAUGUAAGGAGAAGUGGAAGGUUUCCAGCUCUCAGAGAGCUACUGGUGAGCACUUCCAAAGGAGCGUAAGAACACUUUGAAGUUCAUCCCAUGACUUAAUAACCCGCUUUUGGGGGAUGCUUUCAAAUCGCGUCCCAAAGGACCGAUCCGCGCUUCAUUUUACUAAACAUGGACACACAAGGUGCAGCGCAGUUCACUAGGAUGCCCCUCCCACAGUGGUGUGCUGUGACAGAAGAGCUGCACAGCCUGCAAGCCAGUGGGCAGGAUCGCUGCCACGCAUCCCCACCAGCCCCACAGCCACUGCAGGAGGCCACAUCGCAAAGCAGCGCUGAGGCUGCGCGGGUCCGGUGAUGCGCGGGGAUCCCCUCUGCAGCGUGGUGUGCACUAAGCCUCCAAAGCCGACGUCCCUUUGAAAGCUCUCUUAAUAUAUCCAAUUAUAGAUUUUCAGCAACUUUGAGGAAUGUUGGCUUUCCCAGCAGCUGACCUCAGAAAACACCAUUGAAACCAUGAGGGAUUUUGCUGUUGAGCUCAGCGGGGGAGGAUCAGGUCCUACAUAAUUUUAUUGUCAGCAAUGAUGACCUCUCUUCACAAAUGAAGAAUGCCCGUCCUGAACCAUGCCCUUCGGAACGUAAACUGUUUAUUUUUAUAGCCGGAUCCUUCCCCGAGUGGGAUAUUUGUGCAUGGUUAACUUAUCCUGGGCUUUAAAUGCUUGCCAAGUGGCUUUAAUAGCAGGAUGUUGUUUAGAAAGAUUGGGAAGGAUUGCAGGCAGUAAUAGAGAUAAUUGCCAAGGAGAGAUAAAUGAAUCUUCAAUCUCAGACCAAGUUGGCUUUAUUGUUGGGUCAGGAGGGAAGGUCCAGAAAAAUCCCUCGUCUGCCACUAAAUGUGUAAUGAUAGUUUGGGAUUUAGGGAAGCUGGCAGCUGUCGAGAUCUUCCAAUAAAAACAUCUUUUGAGGCUUAA